GGCAGUAAAGAUAAAAUUAAUUUAUUUGACUUCACAACUUCAUGGGCCACACAGGGGCCCCACAGUCCUAGAAGCACAGCCUGUGGCAGUGGGCUGGGGAGGCCAGUUCUCUGGACUGCCUGCUCCCUUGUCCAGAGCUGCCUUGAGCCAGGUCCCUCCUGACCCCAUCAUCCUGUUCCCAUAUGCAAGGGCUGCUCAGGUCCACCUGCAAUAAACCCAGGCCUGCCUCUGGCAGCAAGGACAGGGCCUCGUGGGUGGCAGCAGCACUGGUCCUCGUGGCUGUGGGUGUGGGUGGGUGGGUAGGUAGGUGGGAAGGAGGGCAGGCAGGAGGGUGUGGUUCAGUGCAGAGAGCUGCUGUUCUGCUCUUCAAAGGCCAUCUUGCCCAGAAGCUGGCUGUCCAACUCCACCCCACUUACAGGCAGCUGGAAGAAGUUCAUUUCAGCUGCUAAGGCUGCCAUGGCAGAAGGGUCCUGGCCAAACUGAGCUCGCAACAUCAUGUCCAUUUUCUCCAGCCUCCUCUUGAGCCGCUUGGCCUCUCGCUCUCGGAUGAGCCGGGCCUGCCGCUUUUCCGGGGUUUCAUUGGCCCGCUUCAGCCUCAUGGCCUCCCGAUCCCGCUGCAGCCGGCGUGCCCGCUGCUCGUCUGUCUCCUGCAUGCGCUGCAAGCGCUUGGCUUCACGGUCCCUCAUGCGCCUCACCUCCCGCUCCUCGGGGGUCUCAUUGUCCCGCCGGCUCUUCUUGGCCGUGCGCUCUCGUUCCAGCCGCUGCAGCCGUACUUCCAAAGGCUCAUUCUGUCGACGUAGAGCCCACUUGCGUACACUGGGAGUCUGGGCUUCCAGCAGUUUACGGUAGGCAGCACAGUUGUUGCACACAAGCAGAAUUCCAGCAGGGUACACUGGAGGACUAAAGGCAAUAUCCUUCCCCUCAGCACUGGAGGGACCCUCAUUGUGGACUGUGGGUAGGGAUUCCAUAUUUAGUACUUCAGGAAGUUUCUCACUGG
rnacentral:lncRNA from 1 species